rnacentral:rRNA from 1 species
CACAAGCGGUGGAGCAUGUGGUUUAAUUCGAUGCAACGCGAAGAACUUACCUAGACUUGACAUCCCGGGAAUCCUUAGGAAACUAAGGAGUGCCUUUCGGGGAGCCCGGAGACAGGUGCUGCAUGGCUGUCGUCAGCUCGUGUCGUGAGAUGUUGGGUUAAGUCCCGCAACGAGCGCAAUCCCUAUCUUUAAUUGCCAUCAUUCAGUUGGGCACUUUAGAGAGACUGCCGGUGUUAAGCCGGAGGAAGGUGGGGAUGACGUCAAGUCCUCAUGGCCUUUAUGUCUAGGGCUACACACGUGCUACAAUGGUCGGUACAAUAGGUUGCCAAGCCGCGAGGCGGAGCCAAUCCAAAAAAGCCGGCCUCAGUUCAGAUUGUAGGCUGCAACUCGCCUGCAUGAAGAUGGAGUUGCUAGUAACCGCAGGUCAGCAAUACUGCGGUGAAUACGUUCCCGGGUCUU